UACAGAGGUCUCAAGCGUUGUUCGGAUUCAUUGGGCGUAAAGGGUGCGUAGGUGGCGCCGUAAGUCGGGUGUGAAAUUUCGGAGCUUAACUCCGAAACUGCAUUCGAUACUGUGGUGCUCGAGGACUGGAGAGGAGACUGGAAUUCAUGGUGUAGCAGUGAAAUGCGUAGAGAUCAUGAGGAAGACCAGUGGCGAAGGCGGGUCUCUGGACAGUUCCUGACACUGAGGCACGAAGGCCAGGGGAGCAAACGGG
rnacentral:rRNA from 1 species